rnacentral:rRNA from 1 species
CCCUUAGAUGUUCUGGGCCGCACGCGCGCUACACUGAUGCAUUCAACGAGUCUAAAACCUGGUCUGAUAGGGCUGGGUAAUCUUUUGAAAGUGCAUCGUGAUUGGGAUAGAUGAUUGCAAUUCUUCAUCUUCAACGAGGAAUGCCUAGUAAACGCAAGUCAUCAGCUUGCAUUGAUUACGUCCCUGCCCUUUGUACACACCGCCCGUCGCUCCUACCGAUUGAAUGAUCCGAUGAAUACCAUGGAUUGAGAGUACGAAUGGGUUCGCUCAUUUCUGCUGCUCGAGAAGUGGAGUAAAUCUUAUCAUUUAGAGGAAGGAGAANUCGUANCA